AGCAACUCCAUUCAAGUGUGAGAACAGGGAAUCUUGAGACCUGUCUGAGACUGUUGUCGUUAGGAGCCCAAGCCAACUUCUUCCAUCCUGAAAAAGGAAGCACUCCACUCCACGUCGCCUCCAAAGCAGGACAGAUCCUACAGGCUGAAUUGCUGGCAGUGUACGGAGCUGACCCAGGCACACACGAUUCUAGUGGGAAGACUCCUGUUGACUAUGCAAGGCAAGGAGGACACCGUGAGCUGGCCGAACGCCUCGUAGAAAUACAGUACGAGCUGACGGACAGGCUGGCCUUCUACCUCUGCGGCCGGAAACCAGAUCAUAAAAACGGACAGCACUUUAUAAUCCCUCAGAUGGCAGACAGGUAAGGACCAGUUUAGUUUAUCUGCCCUGAAUCGCCUUGGUUUACAGUAUUCGAGUGUAUUAUAUGUUGUGUUUAACAGAGCUCAUACAUUUCUCUCUUUUAUGGCUAUACACUUUGGAAAUAAGACGGCUGUAAGUAAAGCACCGUGUGAAACCUAGCUGGGAAGAGCCCAGAUGACAUGCGUACUAGCCAGUGAUACCACACUGUGUGUCUGGUUGUCUGGUGUUGGUGUCAUAUUCACAGGUGUUUCUGUGUCGGGAAGCACGGGAUGCUCUGUCUCUGACAGAGGCUGGCACAGUUUACAUUCAUCUUGGAGCUGUCAGCCUGUCAGGCUGCCAGCAUGUCCUCUGGAGUGUCAGUGGGUUAGGGUUACAGGCUGGAUGAAAUUUUACAUUUUGAGAAAUUGAUGUUCUUUUUCCUUCUCUACUCAAAAUGUUUGAAAACAAAAGCCAUCCUUAGUUCAUGAGCUGAGUAAAAGAGCCCUCAGCUGCUGGCCCA
rnacentral:lncRNA from 1 species